GACGAACGCUGGCGGCGUGCUUAACACAUGCAAGUCGAACGGAAAGGCCCUGCUUGCCGGGUACUCGAGUGGCGAACGGGUGAGUAACACGUGGGUGAUCUGCCCUGCACUUCGGGAUAAGCCUGGGAAACUGGGUCUAAUACCGGAUAGGAGCCAUUUUUAGUGUGAUGGUUGGAAAGUUUUUUCGGUGUAGGAUGAGCUCGCGGCCUAUCAGCUUGUUGGUGGGGUAAUGGCCUACCAAGGCGGCGACGGGUAGCCGGCCUGAGAGGGUGGACGGCCACAUUGGGACGGAGAUACGGCCCAGACUCCUACGGGAGGCAGAAGGGGGGAAUAUUGCACAAUGGGCGCAAGCCUGAUGCAGCGAGGCCGCGGGGGGGAUGACGGCCUUCGGGUUGAAAACUCCUUUCGCUAGGGACGAAGCUUUUUGUGACGGUACCUAGAUAAGAAGCACCGGCUAACUACGUG
rnacentral:rRNA from 1 species